AGUGGGAUAACUGGGUCAAAUGGUGGUUCCAUUACAAGUUGUCUAAGGAAUAGCUAUACUGCUUUCCACAGUGGUUGUACCAAUUUGCAGUUCCACCAGCAAU
rnacentral:pre_miRNA from 1 species